rnacentral:rRNA from 1 species
UACGUAGGGUGCAAGCGUUGUCCGGAAUUAUUGGGCGUAAAGGGCUCGUAGGCGGUUUGUCGCGUCGGGAGUGAAAACUCAGGGCUUAACCCUGAGCCUGCUUCCGAUACGGGCAGACUAGAGGUAUGCAGGGGAGAAUGGAAUUCCUGGUGUAGCGGUGAAAUGCGCAGAUAUCAGGAGGAACACCGGUGGCGAAGGCGGUUCUCUGGGCAUUACCUGACGCUGAGGAGCGAAAGUGUGGGGAGCGAACAGG